rnacentral:rRNA from 1 species
CGCUCCCCGCUAAUUAAUCAUAUGGGGAGUCCUGCCUGCCCAGUGACCAAGGUUAAACGGCCGCGGUAUCUUGACCGUGCAAAGGUAGCAUAAUCACUUGUCUCCUAAAUAGAGACUGGUAUGAAAGGCAAGACGGAGCUAAACUGUCUCUUUUUUUAUAAUUGAAAUUUACUUUCACGUGAAGAGGCGUGGAUAAAAUCGUUAGACGAGAAGACCCUGUCGAGCUUAAAGCAAAAAUUAGAACUAUUUAUACUAGUUUUCAUUUUACUAAUUUAUAAACUUACAAAACAAAACUUCAAUGCUUCUAAAAAAGCUUUGGUUGGGGCAACCGCGGAAAAAGAAAACCUCCCGCUAACAAACUAUUUAACUAAGGAAAGCCCUCCUACUAUCAAAAAUGAAUACAUGAUCCACUUUAGGUGAUCAAAGGAACAAGUUACCGCAGGGAUAACAGCGUUAUCUUUUUUGAGAGUUCACAUUGACAAAAAGGUUUGCGACCUCGAUGUUGGAUCGGGACAUCCUAAGGGUGCAGAAGCUUUUAAGGGUUGGUCUGUUCGACCAUUAAAGUCCUACGUGAUCUGAGUUCAGACCGGCGAAAGC